rnacentral:rRNA from 1 species
AUGAACGCUAGCUACAGGCUUAACACAUGCAAGUCGAGGGGCAGCAUGGUCUUAGCUUGCUAAGGCCGAUGGCGACCGGCGCACGGGUGAGUAACACGUAUCCAACCUGCCGUCUACUCUUGGACAGCCUUCUGAAAGGAAGAUUAAUACAAGAUGGCAUCAUGAGUCCGCAUGUUCACAUGAUUAAAGGUAUUCCGGUAGACGAUGGGGAUGCGUUCCAUUAGAUAGUAGGCGGGGUAACGGCCCACCUAGUCUUCGAUGGAUAGGGGUUCUGAGAGGAAGGUCCCCCACAUUGGAACUGAGACACGGUCCAAACUCCUACGGGAGGCAGCAGUGAGGAAUAUUGGUCAAUGGGCGAGAGCCUGAACCAGCCAAGUAGCGUGAAGGAUGACUGCCCUAUGGGUUGUAAACUUCUUUUAUAAAGGAAUAAAGUCGGGUAUGGAUACCCGUUUGCAUGUACUUUAUGAAUAAGGAUCGGCUAACUCCGUGCCAGCAGCCGCGGUAAUACGGAGGAUCCGAGCGUUAUCCGGAUUUAUUGGGUUUAAAGGGAGCGUAGAUGGAUGUUUAAGUCAGUUGUGAAAGUUUGCGGCUCAACCGUAAAAUUGCAGUUGAUACUGGAUAUCUUGAGUGCAGUUGAGGCAGGCGGAAUUCGUGGUGUAGCGGUGAAAUGCUUAGAUAUCACGAAGAACUCCGAUUGCGAAGGCAGCCUGCUAAGCUGCAACUGACAUUGAGGCUCGAAAGUGUGGGUAUCAAACAGGAUUAGAUACCCUGGUAGUCCACACGGUAAACGAUGAAUACUCGCUGUUUGCGAUAUACUGCAAGCGGCCAAGCGAAAGCGUUAAGUAUUCCACCUGGGGAGUACGCCGGCAACGGUGAAACUCAAAGGAAUUGACGGGGGCCCGCACAAGCGGAGGAACAUGUGGUUUAAUUCGAUGAUACGCGAGGAACCUUACCAGGGCUUAAAUUGCAGAUUAAUUACGGUGAAAGCCGUAAGCCGCAAGGCAUCUGUGAAGGUGCUGCAUGGUUGUCGUCAGCUCGUGCCGUGAGGUGUCGGCUUAAGUGCCAUAACGAGCGCAACCCUUGUUGUCAGUUACUAACAGGUUCCGCUGAGGACUCUGACAAGACUGCCAUCGUAAGAUGUGAGGAAGGUGGGGAUGACGUCAAAUCAGCACGGCCCUUACGUCCGGGGCUACACACGUGUUACAAUGGGGGGUACAGAGGGCCGCUACCACGCGAGUGGAUGCCAAUCCCCAAAACCUCUCUCAGUUCGGACUGGAGUCUGCAACCCGACUCCACGAAGCUGGAUUCGCUAGUAAUCGCGCAUCAGCCACGGCGCGGUGAAUACGUUCCCGGGCCUUGUACACACCGCCCGUCAAGCCAUGAAAGCCGGGGGUACCUGAAGUGCGUAACCGCGAGGAGCGCCCUAGGGUAAAACUGGUGACUGGGGCU